CUGGCCUCAAAUCAGGUAGGACUACCCGCUGAACUUAAGCAUAUCAAUAAGCGGAGGAAAAGAAACUAACAAGGAUUCCCCUAGUAACGGCGAGUGAAGCGGGAUGAGCUCAAAUUUAAAAUCUUGCAGCCUCAGGUUGUACGAGUUGUAGUCUAGAGAAUCGUUUUCCGCGUUGGCCUGUGUACAAGUCCCUUGGAACAGGGCGUCAUAGAGGGUGAGAAUCCCGUCCUUGACACAGACUACCAAUGCUUUGUGAUGCGAUCUCGAAGAGUCGAGUUGUUUGGGAAUGCAGCUCAAAAUGGGUGGUAAAUUCCAUCUAAAGCUAAAUAUUGGCGAGAGACCGAUAGCGAACAAGUACCGUGAGGGAAAGAUGAAAAGCACUUUGGAAAGAGAGUUAAACAGUACGUGAAAUUGUUAAAAGGGAAACGAUUGAAGUCAGUCAUGCUUUCCGAGACUCAGCCGAUUCUGUCGGUGUACUUCUCGGUUUGCAGGCCAGCAUCAGUUUCGAUCUGUGGAAAAGGUUGGAGGGAACGUGGCAUCCUCGGAUGUGUUAUAGCCCUCCUUCGAAUACAUAGAGCGGGACUGAGGAACGCAGCGCGCCCUUUAUUGGGUUGGUCUUCGGAUACAUACGCGCUUAGG
rnacentral:rRNA from 1 species